GUGAACUGACCAAUCACAACACAGUUACACGCCGACUAGCCGACGAGCAGUUAGCCCAGCAGGUGACGUGUUGACUCGCGGUCAGCCAGGUGUGUUCGGGGGAUGCUGCGCUCACAACCCGGUUACACUCGUUGUUCGGUCGGACCCGCGGACUACUCUUCAUGUGGCGUUUUCCAGCGGGGAAGGGAAGUGGGGACGCAGCAGGCAGCAGCUGUCAUAUGAUCGGCCAGCCGACACGUGCCCGACAGCGACCCCCACAGGCACAGGGAGGGGUCAUUACGGAGAUAAUGGUGCAGGAGUACACAGUUACAAAUACAUGAUGAUUUAUUGUUGACAACUGAAUGUUUGUGUGGGUUUGAUGAUAUGUGAUGCAGGGAGGGCAUAAAAAUGUAUACAUUAAUAAACUUAAUCAAAAAUCCAGUCUAAGUCAGUCUUCAAAUUACACAAAAUGAAUCACUAACAAUUUGGACUAUGAGAUUAUUUUUUUAUGUAAUUCGUAUAGCAAAGAUACCACAAAUGUAUUGGUUCAAACUUUAUGAUAUCAUUGUAAUUUGGAUGUCUGGGGUAAUCUGAUGACAUUACCUCAGGCUCAGAAAAACUGCAAUAAUUGAUGAUUGAAAUAAGGCACAGUCUAAUCUAUAAUAAAAUCAGUUGGUGGUAGUAGGCCUACUGUUGUAGUUGUUGUC